rnacentral:rRNA from 1 species
UACGUAGGGUGCGAGCGUUAAUCGGAAUUACUGGGCGUAAAGCGUGCGCAGGCGGUUCGUCGUGUCCGAUGUGAAAGCCCCGGGCUCAACCUGGGAAUGGCAUUGGAAACUGGCGGACUCGAGUGUGGCAGAGGGGGGUGGAAUUCCGCGUGUAGCAGUGAAAUGCGUAGAGAUGCGGAGGAACACCGAUGGCGAAGGCAGCCCCCUGGGCCUAACAC